GAAAACCGUGGGUAAUACCGGAUACUCCGGGACGGCCGCAUGGCCGGCCCGGGAAAGCCCAGACGGGAGGGGAUGGGCCCGCGGCCUGUUAGCUAGUCGGCGGGGUAACGGCCCACCGAGGCGAUUAUGGGUAGCCGGGUUGAGAGACCGACCGGCCAGAUUGGGACUGAGACACGGCCCAGACUCCUACGGGAGGCAGCAGUGGGGAAUCUUGCGCAAUGGGCGGAAGCCUGACGCUGCGACGCCGCGUGCGGGACGAAGGCCUUCGGGUCGUAAACCGCUUUCAGCAGGGACGAGGCCCUCACAGUGACGGUACCUGCAGAAGAAGCCCCGGCUAACUGCGUGCCAGCAGCCGCGGUAAUACGUAGGGGGCGAGCGUUAUCCGGAUUCAUUGGGCGUAAAGCGCGCGUAGGCGGCCUGUUAGGUCGGGGGUCAAAUACCGGGGCUCAACCCCGGUCCGCCCCCGAUACCGGCAGGCUUGAGUCUGGUAGGGGAAGGCGGAAUUCCCAGUGUAGCGGUGGAAUGCGCAGAUAUUGGGAAGAACACCGGCGGCGAAGGCGGCCUUCUGGGCCACGACUGACGCUGAGGCGCGAAAGCUAGGGGAGCGAACAGGAUUAGAUACCCUGGUAGUCCUAGCCGUAAACGAU
rnacentral:rRNA from 1 species